UCUAAUGUGGCAGAUUAGUGCAAUGAACUUAAGAUUCAUAUAUAAAGAAAUAUCUUUUAUUAGAA
rnacentral:tRNA from 1 species